rnacentral:rRNA from 1 species
UACAUACUGUGCGAACGUUAUUCGGAUUUAUUGGGCGUAAAGCGCUCGCAGGUGGUCCGAUGCGUCGUGCGUGAAAGACCCCGGCUCAACUGGGGGGCGUCGUGCGAUACGGUCGGACUGGAGGCCAGUAGGGGGAUGCGGAAUUCCGGGUGUAGUGGUGGAAUGCGUAGAGAUCCGGAGGAACACCAGCGGCGAAGGCGGCAUCCUGGACUGGUCCUGACACUCAGGAGCGAAAGCGUGGGGAGCGAUCCGG